CCUCUCAGGUUUCUCUCUGUUACUAGCUUUGCUAGUGACAGAGAAUGGCUGAUCGCCAUUUAUUUAUUAAAUAUUAUAAUUGUGUAUGUGUUGUGUGUAUCUAUACAUAUACAGUACUAAAAAGAUUAGUCUAAUUGUCAUCAUCGAUAGUUAAUAUUUAACAAAGUGAAGAUAAUAUAACAUAAUUAUUUGAUGUAUUCGAAGACGAGCUUGCAGUGCUUGAUAUGAAAUAAAAUACAUCGCAAAUUAUAUUGAAUUAUAAUCAAACAAAACGCUCGAUAAAAGACACUGCAAAUAUUGUAUCAAUCUUACAAUAAUUAGUAUUGUAUAUAUUUUUGCACUUUUAUCAUUUUUCUUGACGAGAAGAAUGUGGAUUUAUUUUCUGCUCGCCAUGUUUAGCGUAUUCGACUUUGCAAUGGCUUCCAAUAAUUUCGAUUUUGGAGACACCCUAGCGUUAAUCCUGGGAUUAACGAUCGGGAUUAUUGGAUUUUUCGCUUGCAUGGGAGCUUAUGCGAGGAGACGAAGCCACUUUGAAUCCUUGUAAUUUGAAUUGCGAUCUUUUUAAAGCGUUAAUGACACACAAAUAAGACUAUCCUAUUAUAUAAUUAUGGAAUAAAGGAAAUCUGAUCUGUAAGAAAUAUAUGAUAAAUAAAAAGAGCAUUUUGAGAUAUUCUGUAUCAUAAAGGAUAGUUUUCAGAGAGAUUCUUAGAAAAUGUUUGUUAAAAUAUUCUAUAACAAUUUUACAAAACUUGAGUAUAAUACAUUGAGUAUAAUAUAUUGUGUAUAUUUUUGUUGUAAUAAAGAAUAUAAAUGAUAAA